rnacentral:misc_RNA from 1 species
UAUGGCUGUUUUAUAUUCUUUUUUUUAUGCAUGCCUGAACACCAUUAAAUCGUCCACUCAUCGAUGCAGCUCCKUCGUAACCUUGCCCUCUUAGAUAUUGCACUUCAAUUUUCAUCUCGGUUAGUKCUUUAAUAAUUAUACUUGCAAGUGCGCUUCCACUUAAGUCCAUUACAGGAACAAAUUUUAAAAAUUGUUCUUUUACUAUUUUAGUCUUAGAAUCAAAAUAACGAACACAAAUUGAGAAUUGCUCAAUGCCAGCCACAUCUGCCGUUUCGUCUGCUAUAACCGAAAAGCAUUUAMUAUUAUUCACUUCAUUAACAAUUUCAGAUAAUAUAAUUUCAUGACAAGAACCGAUAAUUUCGUUUUGAAUCUUCCAASUUGUAUACUGUGCAUUUUUUGCACAKUUAGUUCUAGCUAAUUGGUAAGAUUCGUCACCAGACAAUUUUGUUGCAUUUAAAUGAAAUCGCAUUAAAGCUCUAAWGUUACCGUCAUUUUCUACCGGAUUUUCUGUUGUUAAURUUCCAAAAUCACGAUGUCCCCGUAAGGCRAUUCCUUGUCUUCCACAAAAAAUUACAGACUCGAUUACAGGAAUAAUUAUUUUCCUAUUCAAUUUCGUUUGUACUUUAGCAGCUUUAUUUAAUUGUAAAUCGAUAGAAUCUUGCUUCCCAGUUUAAAAAAAUAUAUAUUAAGUAUAACAAACUUUAAUUAUAAUUAAGUAUAAAAAUUUGUAAUAGUACGGACGACGAGUUGCGGACUUAUUGUACGAUGCUUUCCGUGGUSUAUAUACAACGAGCGAUCGAAAGCUAAAAACUGACGUAAWUCGACAGUGUGCCGAUUUACGAUAACAAAAUAUCAUUCGCGAUAAGAUAAUAAUAAUAAUAAUAAUUAAUAAUAUAAUAUAGUAAAUCGUACACUACUCGAUACGCAACAAACUGAAAAACGGGAAGAAGCGUCUUUUUCAUUCAAAUCUUUUUAGUACUAAGGAACAUCGAAUUYCACAAAAAAYAGAUUAUCAC